rnacentral:rRNA from 1 species
CGAAGGGUGCAAGCGUUAAUCGGGAAUUACUGGGGCGUAAAGGGUGCGUAGGCGGUUCGUUAAGUCUGUUGUGAAAUCCCCGGGCUCAACCUGGGAAUGGCAAUGGAUACUGGCGAGCUAGAGUGUGUCAGAGGAUGGUGGAAUUCCCGGUGUAGCGGUGAAAUGCGUAGAGAUCGGGGAGGAACAUCAGUGGCGAAGGCGGCCAUCUGGGGACAACACUGACGCUGAAGCACGAAAGCGUGGGGAGCAAACAGGAUU